GGAUUGAGAGCUUGCUCUCAAGAAGUUAGCGGCGGACGGGUGAGUAACACGUGGGUAACCUGCCCAUAAGACUGGGAUAACUCCGGGAAACCGGGGCUAAUACCGGAUAAUAUUUUGAACUGCAUGGUUCGAAAUUGAAAGGCGGCUUCGGCUGUCACUUAUGGAUGGACCCGCGUCGCAUUAGCUAGUUGGUGAGGUAACGGCUCACCAAGGCAACGAUGCGUAGCCGACCUGAGAGGGUGAUCGGCCACACUGGGACUGAGAACGGCCCCAGACUCCUACGGGAGGCAGCAGUAGGGAAUCUUCCGCAAUGGACGAAAGUCUGACGGAGCAACGCCGCGUGAGUGAUGAAGGCUUUCGGGUCGUAAAACUCUGUUGUUAGGGAAGAACAAGUGCUAGUUGAAUAAGCUGGCACCUUGACGGUACCUAACCAGAAAGCCACGGCUAACUACGUGCCAGCAGCCGCGGUAAUACGUAGGUGGCAAGCGUUAUCCGGAAUUAUUGGGCGUAAAGCGCGCGCAGGUGGUUUCUUAAGUCUGAUGUGAAAGCCCACGGCUCAACCGUGGAGGGUCAUUGGAAACUGGGAGACUUGAGUGCAGAAGAGGAAAGUGGAAUUCCAUGUGUAGCGGUGAAAUGCGUAGAGAUAUGGAGGAACACCAGUGGCGAAGGCGACUUUCUGGUCUGUAACUGACACUGAGGCGCGAAAGCGUGGGGAGCAAACAGGAUAGAUACCCUGGUAGUCCCGCC
rnacentral:rRNA from 1 species